rnacentral:rRNA from 1 species
GAGGAAUAUUGGGCAAUGCCCGAAAGGGUGACCCAGCAACGCCGCGUGGAGGAUGAAGGCCGUAAGGUUGUAAACUCCUGUUAGAGGGGAAGAAAAAUCUCGAUCAAAUCGAGAACUGACUGUACCCUCAGAGAAAGCCCCGGCUAACUACGUGCCAGCAGCCGCGGUAAUACGUAGGGGGCAAGCGUUGUCCGGAUUUACUGGGUGUAAAGGGCGCGCAGGCGGGUUGACAAGUCAGAGGUGAAAUCCUACAGCUUAACUGUAGAACUGCCUUUGAGACUGUCAAUCUUGAGUACGGAAGAGAGAGAUGGAAUUCCAGGUGUAGUGGUGAAAUACGUAGAUAUCUGGAAGAACACCAGUGGCGAAGGCGGUCUCUUGGUCCAUUACUGACGCUAAGGCGCGAAAGCGUGGGGAGCAAAC